CGGUGGAGGAAGAGCGGUUGUGACGGGACAAGGCGCUCGAUGUGGGGAGCGAGGGAGGCGGAGACCCGCAGGGGGAAGGCACCGAGGGCGAGAAGGGAGAGGGAGCGAGUGCUUCUGUCACAGCAGCCAGCGGGGGUUCCCACUAAGCCAGACAGCCAUUUUGAGCCCCAGAUUUUUAGAGGUGGGGGCGCGGGGUCCCCUACUCCUCCAGCAGCUGCUUCUUCCGUUGUUGGCACAAGUAAAAGUCAACAACAUCAUCCUUCCCGCCCCACUCCGCUGCUGCGCGCGUACCUUGGGAGCUGCGGAGGCUUCUCCCUCUGUCUCUAGCCUGUGGGGCAAGAGACUGUGUGGCACCCGCUGCUGAGGGGGAGGAGGCAGAUAAGCGUGUGGAAAGUUCCUCCCUUGUUUUUGCUGAAGCUUCUGCUGCUGAGUUUCUUGUACGAAGCCCGCUGUUCAUACACAGAACAGUUGUCCUAGCUUAAAAUGUCAUAAUCACACACAUUGACAUGAUGGAAAGAAGAUUGCACUGGCAACUAUAUUCAGGGACUUAAGACACUCAGGGUACGUCCGAACGGCGGUGGCGGAGUCGACGGGGGAGCCGCGGACAUUGAUCCCGCGCCGUGAGGAUGGAGCAGCACUGCUGAUAGCCAAAUACUUAGAAGAAAUUAUGGAUUUGAAGGAUUGACAGCAGACUCCCUUUUAAAUUGUUGGUUUCCUGGCAUUAUGCCAUCUUCCAAAAAAGUCCAGAGACUCAGUCUUUCACAAGGAGUAAUGCUUCCUCGACACCCUGCCUCCCCCUCUCCCCAACAACUUCUCUGGCCAAGACUGGAUUGCACUCCCCUCCUGCACUGCUCUCCUGCCUCCUACAGCUCUGGCUUGGCCAGGAGGUAGGGACUUGUAAGGGGCAAGGCCUUGUGGCUCCCCCAUUUUUAAGGAGAAUCCAUUGCCCCUGCCCCUGAUGCACACUUGCCUCUGCACCAGAGGAGCUUGGUGCUGGCUGGUGAGACCCCCCUAGAGCUAGCUGCUACCUAUGGAGCCUGGCUGCCAUAAUAUGCUCCCAGAGGAGCAACCUGAAGUACUCAUGCCCCUUGGCCACCUGCCUCUCAGCAGCUUGGUCACACCAUGUUUGCCACCUAGGGAUCUGCCAUUGAAGCUGGGUCACUCUCCCUAUGGUCCCUACACACAGAGUGGAGCUGCUCCUUGCUCCCCUUGGCUGCUCUGCCCCAACUCUGUGGCUGACAGGCUUACAGUCGCACAGCCCGAGUUCUGCCAUGUGAGCCCAGAACCCAGUCCAGGUGCUGGGGGCAGGCAGCUGCUGCUGACAGACAGACUCACUCCUGCCAGCUCCGGAAACCCAGGCCAUGAGAAUACAUGCCUCUGCUCAGGCCCAUGGUCAGGCAGCUGGCAGCACUCAGUGCUCUGCCUACCUGCUGCCACCAUGGUCCUAGCAUAGCAGGGAGAGCUUGCUUUGGCCAGGGUCAC